rfam:Camelus ferus unplaced genomic scaffold scaffold273, whole genome shotgun sequence.
GGUGGGGUACAGCUCAGUGGUGGAAUUCAUGCUUAGCAUGCAUAAGGUCCUGGGUUCAAUUCCCAGCACCUCCA